rnacentral:lncRNA from 1 species
UUUUUUUUUUUAUUUUUUUUUUUUUUUUUUUAUUUUUUUUUACCUUUUUCCCUUUUUUUUUUUUUAAUCCUUUCUUUCAGUUUUCUUUUCUUUCUUUUAUUAUUAUUUCUUUAAUACUUUCCUCUUAUAUGUAUAUCCUUUUAAUACUUGUAAUGAACCGAUAAGGUGCUUCCCAUUGUUUUCAAAUCAUCGAUCCGGACAGACGCGAAUCCACGCGGGUCUGAGAUGGGAAUUCGAUGACGUGGCAUCAUUAGCGGUGAUCACUGUAGCUUAAUUACAAUCACUAC